UACGGAGGGUGCGAGCGUUAUCCGGAAUCAUUGGGUUUAAAGGGUCCGCAGGCGGAUUUAUAAGUCAGUGGUGAAAGCCUGAUGCUUAACAUCAGAACUGCCAUUGAUACUGUAAGUCUUGAAUUCGAUCGAAGUGGGCGGAAUAUGACAUGUAGCGGUGAAAUGCUUAGAUAUGUCAUAGAACACCGAUAGCGAAGGCAGCUCACUAGGUCUGGAUUGACGCUCAGGGACGAAAGCGUGGGGAGCAAACAGG
rnacentral:rRNA from 1 species